GUGCCAGCAGCCGCGGUAAUACGGAGGGUGCAAGCGUUAUCCGGAUUUAUUGGGUUUAAAGGGUCCGUAGGCGGAUCUGUAAGUCAGUGGUGAAAUCUCAUAGCUUAACUAUGAAACUGCCAUUGAUACUGCAGGUCUUGAGUAAGGUAGAAGUAGCUGGAAUAAGUAGUGUAGCGGUGAAAUGCAUAGAUAUUACUUAGAACACCAAUUGCGAAGGCAGGUUACUAUGUCUUAACUGACGCUGAUGGACGAAAGCGUGGGGAGCGAACAG
rnacentral:rRNA from 1 species